rfam:Cricetulus griseus cell line CHO-K1, whole genome shotgun sequence.
CACAGGUAUGGAGACAUGGUGCCUAGCACCAUUGCUGGCAAAAUUUUUGGGUCCAUUUGCUCACUUAGUGGUGUCUUGGUUAUUGCCUUGCCUGUGCCAGUCAUUGUGUCCAAC